AUUCGAGGGAUAUAUCCACGACAUAAUAUGCAACCGAUUAGAGAAUAAUUUCAUCAAAAUUGAAGCUAAAGCCUAUAGGUCCCAGCGCAAGCAGCAGCCGCCUCGUACGCUGACCAUUCAAAUGGGAAACAGCUAUGUUCAUGCACAGCAGGCGCGCCAGGCUACUGCUCACACGUCGUGGGUCUAAUCUACGCCUUGGACCUGGCAAGAGCCAGAGAUGCUGAGCUGAGCCAUACAUCAUCAACAACACAAACAAAGUCCUCCUGCACGAGUCUACCACAGCAGUGGCACAAGCCAAGGGGUAACAAAAUAAGGGCAGUGCCAAUAUCAUCGGUAGUUGUCGCUAAAGCCAAUGAAAACCGUAUGCGGCGACCAAUCGACUGUCGGUAUGCAGGAAGCAGGACCUUCUCAGGUACAGAGGAGAAAAUUGCUCUAUUAAAAAGGCAGACAGGAGCACCCAUCAGCU